rnacentral:rRNA from 1 species
GUAAAAGUCGUAACAAGGUUUCCGUAGGUGAACCUGCGGAAGGAUCAUUGUCGUGACCCUGACCAAAACAGACCGUGAACGCGUAAUCUUGCCUGCCAGCGGCGGCCCUGNCCGUCGCUUGGCCAAAGUCCUCGAUAACCUCCUCUCCUCGGAGCGGGGGCUCGGGGUAAAAGAACCCACGGCGCCGAAGGCGUCAAGGAACACUGUGCCUAACCCGGGGAAGCGGCUGGCUUGCUAGCUGCCCCUCGUGUUGCAAUGCUAUUUAAUCCACACGACUCUCGGCAACNGGAUAUCUCGGCUCUCGCAUCGAUGAAGNAACGUAGCGAAAUGCGAUACCUGGUGUGNAAUUGCAGAAUCCCGCGAACCAUCGAGUCUUUGAACGCAAGUUGCGCCCGAGGCCACUUGGCCGAGGGCACGCCUGCCUGGGCGUCACGCCAAACACGCUCCCACCCCUCAUCGGGUGGUGGGAUGCGGCAUGUGGCUCCCCGUCUUGCAAGGGGCGGUGGGCCGAAGAAGCGGCUGCCGGCGUAUCGUGCCGGACACAGCGCGUGGUGGGCGAACUCGCUUUACUUACCGCAGUGCAUCCGGCCCAUAGCCGACGUGAUGGCCUUAAGGACCCUAU